UACAGAGGUCUCAAGCGUUGUUCGGAUUCAUUGGGCGUAAAGAGCGCGCAGGCGGUCGAUCAAGUCGAGUGUGAAAGCCCCCGGCUCAACUGGGGAGGGUCAUUCGAAACUGGUCGACUCGAAGGCAGGAGAGGGUAGUGGAAUUCCCGGUGUAGUGGUGAAAUGCGUAGAUAUCGGGAGGAACACCAGUGGCGAAGGCGACUACCUGGCCUGUUCUUGACGCUGAGGCGCGAAAGCUAGGGGAGCAAACGGG
rnacentral:rRNA from 1 species